rnacentral:rRNA from 1 species
UACGUAGGCAGCGAGCGUUGUUCGGAGUUACUGGGCGUAAAGAGUGCGUAGGCGGUUUUCUAAGUUUGGUGUGAAAUCUCCCGGCUCAACUGGGAGGGUGCGCCGAAGACUGGAAGGCUUGAGUAUGGGAGAGGUAAGCGGAAUUCCUGGUGUAGCGGUGAAAUGCGUAGAGAUCAGCAGGAACACCCGUGGCGAAGGCGGCCCCCUGGGCCGAACCUGACGCUGAGGCGCGAAGGCUAGGGGAGCGAACGGG